UUUUGGACAAUGGGCGAAAGCCUGAUCCAGCAAUGCCGCGUGCAGGAAGAAGGCCUUCGGGUUGUAAACUGCUUUUGUACGGAACGAAACGGUCUGCCCUAAUACGGCGGGCUAAUGACGGUACCGUAAGAAUAAGCACCGGCUAACUACGUGCCAGCAGCCGCGGUAAUACGUAGGGUGCGAGCGUUAAUCGGAAUUACUGGGCGUAAAGCGUGCGCAGGCGGUUAUGUAAGACAGUUGUGAAAUCCCCGGGCUCAACCUGGGAAUUGCAUCUGUGACUGCAUAGCUAGAGUACGGUAGAGGGGGAUGGAAUUCCGCGUGUAGCAGUGAAAUGCGUAGAUAUGCGGAGGAACACCGAUGGCGAAGGCAAUCCCCUGGACCUGUACUGACGCUCAUGCACGAAAGCGUGGGGAGCAAACAGGAUUAGAUACCCUGGUAGUCCACGCCCUAAACGAUGUCAAGUGGUUGUUGGGUGCAUUAGUACUCAGUAACGAAG
rnacentral:rRNA from 1 species